GGCCCAGACUCCUACGGGAGGCAGCAGUGGGGAAUAUUGCACAAUGGGGGAAACCCUGAUGCAGCGACGCCGCGUGAGUGAAGAAGUAUUUCGGUAUGUAAAGCUCUAUCAGCAGGGAAGAGAAUGACGGUACCUGAGUAAGAAGCCCCGGCUAACUACGUGCCAGCAGCCGCGGUAAUACGUAGGGGGCAAGCGUUAUCCGGAUUUACUGGGUGUAAAGGGAGCGUAGACGGCGAAGAAAGUCUGAAGUGAAAGCCCGCGGCUCAACCGCGGAACUGCUUUGGAAACUGUGUGACUGGAGUGCAGGAGAGGUAAGCGGAAUUCCUGGUGUAGCGGUGAAAUGCGUAGAUAUUAGGAGGAACACCGGUGGCGAAGGCGGCUUGCUGGACGGUAACUGACGUUGAGGCUCGAAAGCGUGGGGAGCAAACAGGAUUAGAUACCCGUGUACG
rnacentral:rRNA from 1 species